UUGCCUCAGUAACGGCGAGUGAAGCGGCAAUAGCUCAAAUUUGAAAUCUGGCUCUUUCAGAGUCCGAGUUGUAAUUUGUAGAGGAUGCUUCGGCUUACGUCUCGGUCUAAGUUCCUUGGAACAGGACGUCACAGAGGGUGAGAAUCCCGUUUGUGGCCGUGACUUCCGCCAUGUGAAGCUCCUUCGACGAGUCGAGUUGUUUGGGAAUGCAGCUCUAAAUGGGAGGUAUAUUUCUUCUAAAGCUAAAUACCGGCCAGAGACCGAUAGCGCACAAGUAGAGUGAUCGAAAGAUGAAAAGCACUUUGGAAAGAGAGUUAAAAAGUACGUGAAAUUGUUGAAAGGGAAGCGCUUGCGACCAGACUUGCCCGCGGAUGCUCAACCGGUCCUUCGGCCGGUGCACUCUUCCGCGGUCAGGCCAGCAUCAGUUCGAGCGGUCGGAUAAAGGCCUUGGGAAUGUGGCUCUCUUUGGGGAGUGUUAUAGCCCUUGGUGCAAUACGGCCCGCCUGGACUGAGGCCCGCGCUUCGGCUAGGAUGCUGGCGUAAUGGUCGUAAGCGGCCCGUCUUGAAACACGGACCAAGGAGUCUAACAUCUAUGCGAGUGUUUGGGUGUCAAACCCGUGCGCGAAAUGAAAGUGAACGGAGGUGGGAACCUUAGGGUGCACCAUCGACCGAUCCUGAUGUCUUCGGAUGGAUUUGAGUAAGAGCAUAGCUGUUGGGACCCGAAAGAUGGUGAACUAUGCCUGAAUAGGGUGAAGCCAGAGGAAACUCUGGUGGAGGCUCGCAGCGGUUCUGACGUGCAAAUCGAUCGUCAAAUUUGGGUAUAGGG
rnacentral:rRNA from 1 species